UUCGGUGGGUUCGUUUUUGGGUUUAGAUUCGUGUGAGUGGGUUUAGUUUAGUUAUCCUUUUUCAAUUUUCUCUCUCUAGAAUCUAGAGAGAGAAAGAGGAAGAUAUACGGUGGUUUUCUGUGAAGAAGAAGAUGAUUAUUCUCUCACUUCGCGUUCUCUAAUUCGCUUGGUGCAGGUCGGGAACCACUACUUCCGCAGUUUUCGUACGUAAUGACGACGGAACAAUCACCGGCGGAGAAUUGGAUCCCGCCUUGCAUCAACUGAAUCGGAGGCCGCGGUGAAGCUUUUCGUUCUUUUCCAGCUCAGAUCUCAGCUCGGUGUUUACAUAAUCAAGUUUAUAUGAGAUAUUUUUUGGUGUAUUGUACUGGAUAUUAAGCCGGAACGAAAGUAAUGCUUGGCGAUUGGUUUUGACUCUGUUAAUUCAUUCUGAAUUGAGUUGAAGCAAUCAACAGUACCUGGGUUGAAGCAAUUGAUUGUGAUUGUUUCCUGUUUUUAAUAUAUUGGUUUGAAGUUUGGUGAAUUAUGCUAUAGAAUUUUAAUAUAUCAAAAUGUUUCAACCACUAGGUUUUUGUGUUUCCUUCUGUGAUUGUCCCAUGUAGUCUGUAGCUGAGAUGAAUGUGUAGUUUUUGACCAUGAUUCCUUGCAGCCAGUUUUUUUCCAUAACCUGUCCAACUUGGUUGUUGGAUCGAAACCAGACCGUCCAAAUUUCAAACUUUAAUGUUUUGAUUUUAAAAAAUCAAAUCAAUCUGGACAGUCCGAUUUCGAUUCAAUGGUCAAUUGAAAUCUGUAUUUUUUUUUCUUCUUGUUUUGUGAUUGUGAUAUGUCACAUGGUUAUAGUAUACUUCACCUAUAAUCCCCAUCCAAUUUUCAUGUUGAAAAUGCACUCAUGAUCUGCAGUUGGCCUGAAUACAUCACUGACAGAAAGGUGUUGAACUGAUAUUAUACCCUUUCAGUGAUCUACCUAGUAAUAUAUUCAAUAAGAUGUUUUAUCAUAUAGUAUCAAACUACAAUAAUUUUUCUUUUGAUAAAUGCUUAGCAACUAGCUUGACAGCUUGACAUUUUGACAGUAUCUUUACAGUAAAACAGUUUAUUUGGGAAAGUUGAGCAGCAGUCCACAUCUGCCCAUAAUGUCAAGUAGUAUCUACUCUAAAUUUUUGCUAAAUGGAGAAACAUUGGAUUCAGCCUCACGUUUGCACCUUCAGCCUCACAUUUCAAUGCAUGGUUCUAAACUCCCUCUACAUUUGUUAUAUAUGCUGAUUUAUCAGAGUUUGUUAAUUUGCCAGUAACAGGUUGGGGAACUAGAUGAUCAUCUCUCAAGCAUGUGUAUUCUGUACUAUUAAAAAGGCGUAGUUCCCACCAAGGUACCGGUACAUACAUACGCAGUUUGGUAUUCGUUUGUGACAGUUGAAGAUCUGAAUUGUUCAUAUUCGGUUUGUGACAGUUGAAGAUCUGAAUUGUUCAUAUUCGGUUUGUGACAGUUGAAGAUCUGAAUUGUUCAUAUUCGGUUUUGUGACAGUUGAAUGAGAUGAAAUAUUUAAGAAUAUUAUCAUUAUUUUAAUAUAAUAAAAUUCUAUAUUGUGUAGUUGGGUUUCUUGUUUGAUGUUGUAGCCAUACUUCCAAACUCUAGGCUGGACACUUCCAUAUGUUAUCUAUGUUGUCCUUGUUGCUGCAGAUGUCCUAUAUAGCCUAUUGUUGAGCUCUUCUAGUCCUCUACAAGACAUGUUUUUAGAUUUCAUUUUGUAUAAUGUAAUGUCAACCUUGUAAUUUAUUACUACACGUUGUGUUGUACACAUGUUGGUUAAGAAUGGGGAGUUAUUAUACUUUAUAAGGGAACUGUCAACAACGUAGGCACGAAUUGUGAAAGAAUAGCAGGUAUAUUGUUUUAGAAAAGUUUCAGAUGUCUACCUUCCCUACGGAACUGGAUCACCUACACAGUUAAAGAGAGUGGAUCAUUAUAUAGUAUUUUUGGGCAGUAUAUAAUUCAAUUGCUACAAUUUUUGGCAUCAUGUCAACUGAUGCAGAUUAUUUCGAAUAUAUGAUCAGCUCGUCAAGAGUUUAAUUUUUUCUAA